AGCAACAAGUAGAAUAAUGAAUAUAAAACUGAAAAUACUUGUUAUUGAAAGUAGAAUAAACACUUACAGUUGUAGUGAAUACAAGAUCUCAACAAUACAAGUUAACAGUUACAAAACUUGAACUAGUCCUAGUUACAAGUCCUAAGGGAAGAAGUUCUAAGGGAAGAAAAUUCUAUAGUAAAAACUUGUCUAAACUUAAGGGACAACUCUCCUUAAAUAGGCAAAAUUUCGGAGUGAACAAUGUCAUGAACAGUAAAAAGUAAACAGUGUCAGUGGAUAAUAAUCCGUGAACAGUAAAAGUAAAUAGUGUUUUUUUCCACUUUUUUUACUUAAAAAUCAGCUGAAAUUUUUUUGUCCUUUUCUUGGUUCAAACUUUUUCAGAAGAAGCAUGGCAAUAGCAAGAUCAUGAAAGUAUGAAAGCAAUCACUUCGCCACUCUUUUCAGUGUUCUCAUCGCCUCUCUAUUAUAUGGCUUUUAUAUUUUUCCUGUUGGGUCUUUGGUUAUGGGUUAUUGUUGAGUGAUCUCUACUUAGUGACGGAAUCCCAGCUGCCCUUAAGCAUUUAGUAGGACUUCCAGAAAGAGAGGAAGCUCGAAGAUGACUUCACCGAAUUGAUUAAUAAUGCCAAGCUGUUGGGAACUUGUGAUUGUGAUUAAUAAUUUCUACAUCAUAAUUUAUUUUGACCCAGCCAAUAGGAGGAAGUCAUUUGGAUAAUCUUGGAAGCUUGAGGGCUGACCAAGCUUCAAGAUGAGCCUCAUAGGAUUUGUUUAUAUCUCUUGCAGCUUUUCUAAGAUCGGGAAUGUGACCUACAAAAAAUGGUUAAACUUCUGAUUCUCCAAAUGUUUGAGCAAAGAAGGACAAAAUUGAUCUUCCUUGAGAAUUUUGAGAGAUGAAGCAGGGUAGAGCAAACAUUUUACCAUAAUGCGUCAAGAUUAGGUACUAGAUUCAUGGAUGCAAAAAUGUGUAUAGUAUCAUAAAAUACAUAAAUACAUAAUAAGAUUUAUAAAAAAAAAAAUUAUAUA